UACGUAGGGUGCAAGCGUUGUCCGGAAUUAUUGGGCGUAAAGAGCUCGUAGGCGGUUCGUCGCGUCGGCUGUGAAUACCCGGAGCUCAACUCCGGGCCUGCAGUCGAUACGGGCGGACUCGAGUUCGGCAGGGGAGACUGGAAUUCCUGGUGUAGCGGUGAAAUGCGCAGAUAUCAGGAGGAACACCGGUGGCGAAGGCGGGUCUCUGGGCAGUAACUGACGCUGAGGAGCGAAAGCGUGGGGAGCGAACAGG
rnacentral:rRNA from 1 species